GGGAUCAGUUCACUCAUCCAAGGUGCAGACAAUUACAGCUGAGAGGAGGGAGGCAGGUUGUUCCAGUACCUCAGGGUCCUGACAGCAAAGGCCCCCGUCCCCUUUGGGUUUCAGCCGAGUCGCUGGAACGGGCAAAACACCUCUGAUCUCAAAGUGGGUGCUGGUGCAAGCUGCACUAAAAGUACGGACGUUUUGAAGAGCUGGAUACAGAUCCUUAUCUCAGCCUUGCUGCCAUGAAGUGAACAGCGGUACCUGCAGUGAUGGCUGAGCAAUUCUUAUUCAAGUGAAUAAGCAGCAUCUCUGUCCAGUUCUUAUAAAACCAUCGCUUAUCAUUCUGAAAUAUCGUGUCGUUCUUAUUUGCAGAUAAAGAUGGAAUUCUGAAAUGUUUUAUUGAUGUUUGUCUGUUUAGUUUUGUAUCUAUUGCAGAGAACAGUGUUUAAACUUCUUGGUUUUGGCACAGACUUGAGGCUGGAGCAGGCACAGACGGUCGGUGCUGCAGGGGGUCGUCUCAGGCUGUUAGACCAUGUUAAACCAUGUUAAACACCUGUUUGAGCCUCAGUAGUUGAGGUGAGAGCUUCAGUCCUGCAGUUUUUUCGUCUGUAGGAUCUGGAAUGACUAAAAAUCUACUGGAACACAAAUGUGCUUAUGUUCAGGGUCAUCAAUUUGAUGAACCUCUUUUUAGAAACCACAACAAAUCAUAAAAUAUUAGAUACUGACAUUUUAAACACAUUUAGCCGUCAUUGUUUCUGAUAAAGCUCAUUUCAAGAAUACUGUAUAUACAGUGUCUACUUCAAAUUCAUCUUAUCAUCUGUACAGUUUGUUUCUAAUUUUAGUAAAUUUAUUACAAAAUGUGUGAAGAAAGGUGAGAGAAUAAACUUGUUAAAGUAGCUCUGUGAAAAGCAUCAACAAGAGCUAAAUCUUUGUUGAAAUCAAGUAAACAACAACAAGUAAACAGUCAUGAGUCUUUCCACACGCGCACAAAUUUCCCCCUCAACAAGUCUCCAUGUGCACAUAAACAAGUUUCUUAUGUUUCAUAUUAACGUCUUUAACAACCUACAAUGACUUUUAGCAUCGCCAAGGAAGAUCAUUUACAGCACACACUUAAACACACACGCACACGCACGCACACGCGCACACGCACAUGCACACACACACAAACACUUCAGAAGUA